rnacentral:rRNA from 1 species
CCGGAUUAAUACCGCAUACGCUCUACGGAGGAAAGGGGGGGAUCUUAGGACCUCUCGCUACAGGGGCGGCCGAUGGCAGAUUAGCUAGUUGGUGGGGUAAAGGCCUACCAAGGCGACGAUCUGUAGCUGGUCUGAGAGGACGACCAGCCACACUGGGACUGAGACACGGCCCAGACUCCUACGGGAGGCAGCAGUGGGGAAUUUUGGACAAUGGGCGCAAGCCUGAUCCAGCAAUGCCGCGUGUGUGAAGAAGGCCUUCGGGUUGUAAAGCACUUUUGUCCGGAAAGAAAUCCUUUGGCCUAAUACGUCGGGGGGAUGACGGUACCGGAAGAAUAAGCACCGGCUAACUACGUGCCAGCAGCCGCGGUAAUACGUAGGGUGCAAGCGUUAAUCGGAAUUACUGGGCGUAAAGCGUGCGCAGGCGGUUCGCUAAGACAGAUGUGAAAUCCCCGGGCUUAACCUGGGAACUGCAUUUGUGACUGGCGGGCUAGAGUAUGGCAGAGGGGGGUAGAAUUCCACGUGUAGCAGUGAAAUGCGUAGAGAUGUGGAGGAAUACCGAUGGCGAAGGCAGCCCCCUGGGCCA